GGUGGUCUUCGAAACUUUCAGAGGAAAGGAUGCAAAAGAGAAAGUUGCUUCAAUAAGAUAGAUACCUAGGCGAGAUAAGUCUUGGUUCUUUAGAGGAAGAAUCAUGUGCAACAAAUUGCACAUGUUGAGGGGGUACAUUAAGAUGACAACUCCAUAAAGCUUAAUGGAUCGAGUAAGCGAUAAGGAGUCAUUACAUGAUCUCGCAUGAGGUAAGGCGUUG
rnacentral:lncRNA from 1 species